rnacentral:rRNA from 1 species
CCCUUAGAUGUCCUGGGCCGCACGCGCGUUACACUGAUGCAUUCAACGAGCUUAUAACCUUGGCCGAGAGGCCUGGGCAAUCUUGUUAACGUGCAUCGUGAUAGGGAUAGAUUAUUGAAAUUAUUAAUCUUGAACGAGGAAUUCCAAGUAAACGCAGAUCAUCAAUCUGCAUUGAUUACGUCCCUGCCCUUUGUACACACCGCCCGUCGCACCUACCGAUUGGAUGGUCCGGUGAAGCCUCGGGAUUGUGGUUCUUGCCGCUUUAUUGUGGCGUGACCGCGAGAACUUGUCUAAACCUUAUCAUCUAGAGGAAGGUGAAGUCGUAACA